rnacentral:rRNA from 1 species
UUGAAAGGGAAACGAUUGAAGGCAGUCGGACCCGCGGGAAAUCAACCUUUCGAGUGGGGGUUUUGGAGUUUUGAAGAGUGUCAAAACCUUUGAGAUUUCAAAAUUUUCGCUCUUUUGGUGUACUUUCUCGUGGGUAGGUUAACAUCGAUUUUGAUCAUCAUAAAAAGAUUGGAGGAAUGUAGCUUCGAUCUUGUAUUGAAGUGUUAUAGCCUUUGGUAAAUGUGAUGAUUAGGAUCGAGGAUUGCAACGAAUACCCUUUUGGGCUAUCCGCCUGAUCUCUGAUACGUGGCCUUGGUAUCGAAAGCGUGCUUAUGGUAUUGAGGUAUUACGGUCAAAAGGUUAGAACGGAUUACAUUCGUUAAGGAUGUUGACGUA